rnacentral:tRNA from 1 species
GGGCCCGUAGUUUAGUGGUAGAACAUCUGGCUGGCAGUCAGAUAGGAGGGGUUCGAUUCCCCUCGGGUCCA